rnacentral:rRNA from 1 species
UACGUAGGCAGCAAGCGUUGUUCGGAAUUACUGGGCGCAAAGAGUGUGUAGGCGGUGUUCUAAGUCUGGUGUGAAAUCUCCCGGCCCAACUGGGAGGGUGCGCUAGAAACUGGAAUGCUAGAGGAUGGGAGAGGUAAGCGGAAUUCCUGGUGUAGCGGUGAAGUGCGUAGAUAUCAGGAGGAACACCUGUGGUGUAGACAGCUUACUGGACCAUUUCUGACGCUGAGACACGAAAGCGUGGGUAGCAAACAGG